AUUGAACGCUGGCGGCAUGCCUUACACAUGCAAGUCGAACGGCAGCACGGGUGCUUGCACCUGGUGGCGAGUGGCGAACGGGUGAGUAAUACAUCGGAACGUACCUUAUCGUGGGGGAUAACGCAGCGAAAGUUGCGCUAAUACCGCAUACGCCCUGAGGGGGAAAGCGGGGGACCGUAAGGCCUCGCGCGAUUAGAGCGGCCGAUGUCUGAUUAGCUUGUUGGUGAGGUAAAAGCUCACCAAGGCGAUGAUCAGUAGCUGGUCUGAGAGGACGAGCAGCCACACUGGGACUGAGACACGGCCCAGACUCCUACGGGAGGCAGCAGUGGGGAAUUUUGAACAAUGGGGGCAACCCUGAUCCAGCAAUGCCGCGUGAGUGAAGAAGGCCUUUGGGUUGUAAAGCUCUUUUGUCAGGGAAGAAACAGCAGCUCUAACACAGUCUGCGAAUGACGGUACCUGAAGAAUAAGCACCGGCUAACUACGUGCCAGCCGCCGCCGUAA
rnacentral:rRNA from 1 species